rnacentral:tRNA from 1 species
GGGGGAGUAGCUCAGUGGUUAGAGCAGUCGGCUCAUAACCGAUUGGUCGAAGGUUCAAUUCCUUCCUCCCCCACCA